AUUGCCUCAGUAACGGCGAGUGAAGCGGCAAAAGCUCAAAUUUGAAAUCUGGCCCCUCCGGGGUCCGAGUUGUAAUUUGUAGAGGAUGCUUCGGGUGCGGCCCCCGUCUAAGUGCUCUGGAACGGGCCAUCGGAGAGGGUGAGAAUCCCGUCUGGGAUGGGGUGCCCGCGUCCGUGUGAAGCUCCUUCGACGAGUCGAGUUGUUUGGGAAUGCAGCUCUAAAUGGGUGGUAAAUUUCAUCUAAAGCUAAAUACUGGCCGGAGACCGAUAGCGCACAAGUAGAGUGAUCGAAAGAUGAAAAGCACUUUGAAAAGAGAGUUAAACAGCACGUGAAAUUGUUGAAAGGGAAGCACUGGCAACCAGACUCGCCCACGGGGUUCAGCCGGCCUUCGGGCCGGUGUACUUCCCCGGGGGGCGGGCCAGCGUCGGUUUGGGCGGCCGGUUAAAGGCCCCCGGAAUGUAACGUCCCUCGGGGCGCCUUAUAGCCGGGGGUGUCAUGCGGCCAGCCUGGACCGAGGAACGCGCUUCGGCACGGACGCUGGCAUAAUGGUUGUCAAUGACCCGUCUUGAAACACGGACCAAGGAGUCUAACAUCUACGCGAGUGUUCGGGUGGCAAACCCGUGCGCGGAGUGAAAGCGAACGGAGGUGGGAGCCCCCUCGAGGGGCGCACCAUCGACCGAUCCUGAUGUCUUCGGAUGGAUUUGAGUAGGAGCGUAGCUGUGGGGACCCGAAAGAUGGUGAACUAUGCCUGAAUAGGGCGAAGCCAGAGGAAACUCUGGUGGAGGCUCGCAGCGGUUCUGACGUGCAAAUCGAUCGUCAAAUUUGGGUAUA
rnacentral:rRNA from 1 species